rnacentral:ncRNA from 2 species
UAGAAAAUAAAAGCGCCUGAACUACACAAUGGUCGGAUAUUUGUGUAGUUGACGAGGAGAGGGUUUAUCGAUUAAUCGGCGGAUGCCCUCCGGUUGUAGCAUGACAGCCGUUAAGCUUCUGUAAAAAACAAAGGGGUGACUCUUUGCACAAAGACAGAAGUAGCAUGCCAC